CCAUUCAAGAAAAUGACUAAAGGGCUUGUUGACACUUGGGUUUAGAGUGGUAGGUUUUCAAGGAUCAACAAGUCAAACUUCAGAUAUAGGUUUCUGAAUACUGAUGCUCAAUUGUUGAUCCUGCUUUUCACAACGGCAAUUUUUGCAUCUUCAAUCAGCUAUCAACUAAGCAAUCUAAUCAUCUUGCCAAGGGUACACAACAAGAGCCAUGUUGUAAAAUCAUUACGAAAGCAUCCGGAAUCGUUCAGCGUAUGGGAUUAUACUGCGAUACCUCGUUUUGGUGGCAACUUCCUCAAGAUGAAAAGGACUAGAGAUGAAGGUAAUAUCUCUACCAACUGCUCAACAAAAGAACCAUGUCAUUGAAAUAUAUUUCGAAAGUAUAUCUGUAAUCGAAAUCAAGAAAACCUUAUAAUUUCGAACAUGGUAUAAAAAUAAUUAAAACAUGACACAAAA